AUCGAACGCUGGCGGCAUGCCUAACACAUGCAAGUCGAGCGAGCGGCGGACGGGUGAGUCAUGUCUGGGAAACUGCCUGAUGGAGGGGGCUAACUACUGGAAACGGUAGCUAAUCCCGCAUACCAUUAGCUGUGCCCUGGUGGGAUUAGCUAGUAGGUGGGGUAACGGCUCACCUAGGCGACGAGCCAUAGCUGGUCUGAGAGGAUGACCAGCCACACUGGAACUGAGACACGGUCCAGACUCCUACGGGAGGCAGCAGUGGGGAAUAUUGCACAAUGGGCGCAAGCCUGAUACAGCCAUGCCGCGUGUAUGAAGAAGGCCUUCGGGUUGUAAAGUACUUUCAGCGGGGAGGCGUUACCCGCAGAAGAAGCACCGGCUAACUCCGUGCCAGCAGCCGCGGUAAUUC
rnacentral:rRNA from 1 species